UACGUAGGGGGCAAGCGUUGUCCGGAUUCACUGGGUGUAAAGGGUGCGUAGGCGGGUCUUUAAGUCAGGGGUGAAAUCCUGGAGCUCAACUCCAGAACUGCCUUUGAUACUGAGGAUCUUGAGUCCGGGAGAGGUGAGUGGAACUGCGAGUGUAGAGGUGAAAUUCGUAGAUAUUCGCAAGAACACCAGUGGCGAAGGCGGCUAACUGGCCCGGUACUGACGCUGAGGCACGAAAGCGUGGGGAGCAAACAGG
rnacentral:rRNA from 1 species